rnacentral:rRNA from 1 species
CAGCUUCAAAUCGUCUUCGGACAACUAAUUGACCAUUUGACCUCAAAUCACGUAGGACUACCCGCUGAACUUAAGCAUAUCAAUAAGCGGAGGAA